CUCUUCCUAUCAUUGUGAAG
rnacentral:ncRNA from 2 species